CUCUAUGGCUAAGAUAAAGGUACAGAAUAUUUUUGCUGAAUCUAUUCGAUGCUCGUCACAGCAUGAUGCACCUCCAGCGAUCCAUGGAGAGCUAAGUGCUCUACGACCACCGGUGAUGGUAGAUCCUGGGUUUGCUGUCCUCAUGCAGCAGAUGAAAAAUCUGAUGGAGGUUGUUCAAGAUCUCCAACAACAACAACAACAACGGCUGAAAG
rnacentral:lncRNA from 1 species